AGACUCUGGUGGCACAAACAGAGAUCAACGAUUGCUAAAGAAGAGCAGCUGGGGGAGAUACUGUUACUGACCUGGAUGAAGAAAAACAAAUCUGUGUUGAUUUGGCACACAAAGGUGUCAGUGGUUGCUGCUGUCCUGCUGUUUCCACGUCUAUUAAAGGAGAGUCUGAGAUCUCUUUAUGUCAUCAGUGAGGAACCAGAUACACCCAACCCUGUGCUGUUUAUAAAAGGACAUGUCUUGGAGUCUCUUUAAGAAAUAAUGCUGGAAGUGGAGGAGGAAGUCUGUGAAGUAGACGAUGUGAACACAGCUCUACACUUCAACUUCAACACUGAAUAUGCUUCAAAUUUGAGAGACACCCUGACAUUUACUGAAAACUGUUUAAUGUAUCAUAAUGCCAAAACCAAUAUGCCACCCACAAUGGCUAAUUAUUAUAAUUUGUUUUAUUAAAUUAAUGUGUAUGUAUAUAAAUGCAUGAUAUUUAUUGUUUUUUAUGUAUGUGUUUGUUAAUUUGUUUGUAAUACAUAUUUAUGGAUGAUUGUUUAUUUAUUUGUAUUUGUUGGUUUGUUUGUAAUACAUAUUAAUGAAUUAAAC